GGCGUUAGCGAAAGCCCCCAAGUCGAUGACGGCAUCAAAGACACCACACCUUCCUAAAUAGAUCGGCAAUGCCCUUGCCAAACGGAAAGCUUAACAUCACCUCUAUCGCGCCCUUUCCGAUCGGAAGGUUUGCGUCACCUCCGCGAGCACCAUCUCAAACGGGUGAUGUCACACCUGCCAUUCGGCAGGCGUCGCACUGAAGGUAGGAGACUGCCCCAAAAAUCC
rnacentral:lncRNA from 1 species